UGUAUCUGAAGUCUGACGAGGAUGAGAACCUCCGGGGGCAAGAGGUUCGACUCGAGCGCAGCGAGAGAACGUUGCUUCAGCAACGGCCCGCAGGGCGAGCCACGCAGUGGCGAGUCAUCCUCUAUCACCGGCAG
rnacentral:sRNA from 3 species